GACGAACGCUGGCGGCGUGCUUAACACAUGCAAGUCGAACGGAAAGGCCCUGCUUUUGUGGGGUGCUCGAGUGGCGAACGGGUGAGUAACACGUGAGUAACCUGCCCUUGACUUUGGGAUAACUUCAGGAAACUGGGGCUAAUACUGGAUAGGAGCUCCUGCUGCAUGGUGGGGGUUGGAAAGUUUCGGCGGUUGGGGAUGGACUCGCGGCUUAUCAGCUUGUUGGUGGGGUAGUGGCUUACCAAGGCUUUGACGGGUAGCCGGCCUGAGAGGGUGACCGGCCACAUUGGGACUGAGAUACGGCCCAGACUCCUACGGGAGGCAGCAGUGGGGAAUAUUGCACAAUGGGCGGAAGCCUGAUGCAGCAACGCCGCGUGCGGGAUGACGGCCUUCGGGUUGUAAACCGCUUUCGCCUGUGGCGAAGCGUGAGUGACGGUAAUGGGUAAAGAAGCACCGGCUAACUACGUG
rnacentral:rRNA from 1 species